rnacentral:rRNA from 1 species
AACGAUGCGGGCUAUACAUGCAGUCGAACGCUUUGUGGUUCAACUGAUUUGAAGAGCUUGCUCAGAUAUGACGAUGGACAUUGCAAAGAGUGGCGAACGGGUGAGUAACACGUGGGAAACCUACCUCUUAGCAGGGGAUAACAUUUGGAAACAGAUGCUAAUACCGUAUAACAAUAGCAACCGCAUGGUUGCUACUUAAAAGAUGGUUCUGCUAUCACUAAGAGAUGGUCCCGCGGUGCAUUAGUUAGUUGGUGAGGUAAUGGCUCACCAAGACGAUGAUGCAUAGCCGAGUUGAGAGACUGAUCGGCCACAAUGGGACUGAGACACGGCCCAUACUCCUACGGGAGGCAGCAGUAGGGAAUCUUCCACAAUGGGCGAAAGCCUGAUGGAGCAACGCCGCGUGUGUGAUGAAGGGUUUCGGCUCGUAAAACACUGUUGUAAGAGAAGAAUGACAUUGAGAGUAACUGUUCAAUGUGUGACGGUAUCUUACCAGAAAGGAACGGCUAAAUACGUGCCAGCAGCCGCGGUAAUACGUAUGUUCCAAGCGUUAUCCGGAUUUAUUGGGCGUAAAGCGAGCGCAGACGGUUAUUUAAGUCUGAAGUGAAAGCCCUCAGCUCAACUGAGGAAUUGCUUUGGAAACUGGAUGACUUGAGUGCAGUAGAGGAAAGUGGAACUCCAUGUGUAGCGGUGAAAUGCGUAGAUAUAUGGAAGAACACCAGUGGCGAAGGCGGCUUUCUGGACUGUAACUGACGUUGAGGCUCGAAAGUGUGGGUAGCAAACAGGAUUAUCCCGGGGGUGUAAAAACAAAAAGGGGGGCGCCGGCCCCCGCACGGCCGCCCCAGGCGGC